AGCAGCCGCGGUAAUUCCAGCUCCAAUAGCGUAUAUUAAAGUUGUUGCAGUUAAAAAGCUCGUAGUUGAAUUUCGGGAUCAAAUUGUCGGUCGUGCCUCGGCACGUACUGGUAUUAUUGGUUCCUCCCUUCUGACGAACCACGAUGUCAUUAAUUUGGUGUCAUGGGAAAUCAGGACUGUUACUUUGAAAAAAUUAGAGUGUUUAAAGCAGGCUCGCGCUUGAAUACAUUAGCAUGGAAUAAUGAAAUAGGACGUUUGAUUCUAUUUUGUUGGUUUCUAGGAUCGACGUAAUGAUUAAUAGGGAUAGUUGGGGGCAUUAGUAUUCAAUUGUCAGAGGUGAAAUUCUUGGAUUUAUUGAAGACUAACUACUGCGAAAAGCAUUUGCCAAGGAUGUUUUUCAUUAAUCAAGAACGAAAGUUAGGGGAUCGAAGACGAUCAGAUACCGUCGUAGUCUUAACCAUAAACUAUGCCGACUAGGGAUCGGAUGAUAUUAAUUUUUUAAUGGCUCAUUCGGCGCCUU
rnacentral:rRNA from 1 species